GCCUAGCUAGCGCAGGUGGUAGAGUAUGGGACUCUUGAUCACAGGAUCAUGGCUUUGAGCCCCAAGCUACCUC